CACCUUCCAGGUUUGAGCUUGUCAUAACCAUCGAAAUGUCAACAUCACCAAAUGGACCAACCUGGUAGCGGUUGGCUGACAGCGGCUGUCAACAGGGGGAACGGGAAAAAAGUGCGCCACUGGAGCAGCGUCGGGAGAAGCGUACAAACGGAAAAGAUACAGAAGUACAAAUAUACGAGUGAAAUACAACAAAUUGGCGACGAGGAAGUACGAAAACCACGUUAUUAUACCUAAGCAAACUAAGCUUGUGUUGUUUUCAUGGAUCCGGCGUCAAAGAAGACCGAAAUUCCUGCUGCUUCUGUCACCACACGGGCUGCUGCUAAAUCUGCCAGUACCGGAACACCUACGGCCGAUUCUUCUUCAAACCUUCCUACUGGCGUCCUUGCUACGGACAAUUCUGCUACUGCUAAGCCUAUUUCUUCGAAAACUUCUACUAGAGGCCCUGUUACGGCCCAUUCUGCUGCGGUAAAACCAAAGGCAUCCAGUUCUACUACAUCCAGCACAUCGGUGCCCGGCUCAAGUGUGGGUGAAGGUACCGCUCUGUCUGUUUCGGUCCGGGGGAUAACUACUGCUGUUACGAAUAUGUCUACAAUGUUCUCAUUUGAGCCGUUUGAUCCAACAAACUGCAAAAUCCAGAGAUGGUUGGAAAGGUUGCAAAUUGCCUUCAAAAUCCAUCGAGUUUCCGAAGAAGACAAACGUGAUUACCUUCUCCAUUAUAUGGGUGGUGCUACUUAUGACGUGUUGUGCAACAAGUUAAAGAAUGCAGAACCGCAAACUAAAACGUUCCAGGAAAUUGUUUCCAUUCUUCAAGAGCAUUUCAACCCAAAUCCUUUAGAAAUUUUGGAAAAUUUCAAGUUUGCAAAUCGGAAGCAAGCUGAAAACGAAACACUAUCUACGUAUCUAAUGGAAUUGGAGAAGCUAGCACAAACAUGCAAUUUUGGGGAUUACCUCGACAAAGCCUUGAGAAACCAAUUUGUAUUCGGACUCCAAAACCGUGCGAUCCAAUCGCGGUUGCUCGAGGUGCGCGACUUAACAUUGGCUAAAGCGAAGGACAUAGCUUUUAGUAUGGAAAUGUCAAAUCGAGGCGCAGACGAAAUACACGGCGCCGGUGCAGCGUAUCCAGUUCAGCACAUCAGCACCACGAGCAAGAAGAAGAGCAAGCCAACAACGGUUCAAAGGAAAACAGCUUGCUAUCGGUGUGGAAACGAAGAGCAUUUUGCGGAUAAGUGUCGACACCGGAAUGCAAUUUGCAACUACUGCAAGAAAAUGGGACACUUGGAUAAAGUGUGUCGUACAAAACUACAACGAGCAGGAGUACACACACUGGAGUACGAGCCUGAUCUUCCUGCCUGUGACGAUGACGUUGUGGAUGUGCUCAACCUGAGAGCAGUGCAAAAUCUGGCGGGUCAAUAGUACAAGCGCAACCAUCCAACCCUCCACCAAUGAGUUUUCCAUCAGAGGCUCCAUGUUCAGCAGAAAUACCACCGGAAGCAAAACUGCGGCGAUCAGCAAGGAGUAUCAAAACACCACAAAGGCUACUACUGUAAAUAACUAUUUCGGAGGGAAGAGCUGUCAUAACCAUCGAAAUGUCAACAUCACCAAAUGGACCAACCUGGUAGCGGUUGGCUGACAGCGGCUGUCAACAGGGGGAACGGGAAAAAAGUGCGCCACUGGAGCAGCGUCGGGAGAAGCGUACAAACGGAAAAGAUACAGAAGUACAAAUAUACGAGUGAAAUACAACAAAUUGGCGACGAGGAAGUACGAAAACCACGUUAUUAUACCUAAGCAAACUAAGCUUGUGUUGUUUUCAUGGAUCCGGCGUCAAAGAAGACCGAAAUUCCUGCUGCUUCUGUCACCACACGGGCUGCUGCUAAAUCUGCCAGUACCGGAACACCUACGGCCGAUUCUUCUUCAAACCUUCCUACUGGCGUCCUUGCUACGGACAAUUCUGCUACUGCUAAGCCUAUUUCUUCGAAAACUUCUACUAGAGGCCCUGUUACGGCCCAUUCUGCUGCGGUAAAACCAAAGGCAUCCAGUUCUACUACAUCCAGCACAUCGGUGCCCGGCUCAAGUGUGGGUGAAGGUACCGCUCUGUCUGUUUCGGUCCGGGGGAUAACUACUGCUGUUACGAAUAUGUCUACAAUGUUCUCAUUUGAGCCGUUUGAUCCAACAAACUGCAAAAUCCAGAGAUGGUUGGAAAGGUUGCAAAUUGCCUUCAAAAUCCAUCGAGUUUCCGAAGAAGACAAACGUGAUUACCUUCUCCAUUAUAUGGGUGGUGCUACUUAUGACGUGUUGUGCAACAAGUUAAAGAAUGCAGAACCGCAAACUAAAACGUUCCAGGAAAUUGUUUCCAUUCUUCAAGAGCAUUUCAACCCAAAUCCUUUAGAAAUUUUGGAAAAUUUCAAGUUUGCAAAUCGGAAGCAAGCUGAAAACGAAACACUAUCUACGUAUCUAAUGGAAUUGGAGAAGCUAGCACAAACAUGCAAUUUUGGGGAUUACCUCGACAAAGCCUUGAGAAACCAAUUUGUAUUCGGACUCCAAAACCGUGCGAUCCAAUCGCGGUUGCUCGAGGUGCGCGACUUAACAUUGGCUAAAGCGAAGGACAUAGCUUUUAGUAUGGAAAUGUCAAAUCGAGGCGCAGACGAAAUACACGGCGCCGGUGCAGCGUAUCCAGUUCAGCACAUCAGCACCACGAGCAAGAAGAAGAGCAAGCCAACAACGGUUCAAAGGAAAACAGCUUGCUAUCGGUGUGGAAACGAAGAGCAUUUUGCGGAUAAGUGUCGACACCGGAAUGCAAUUUGCAACUACUGCAAGAAAAUGGGACACUUGGAUAAAGUGUGUCGUACAAAACUACAACGAGCAGGAGUACACACACUGGAGUACGAGCCUGAUCUUCCUGCCUGUGACGAUGACGUUGUGGAUGUGCUCAACCUGAGAGCAGUGCAAAAUCUGGCGGGUCAAUAGUACAAGCGCAACCAUCCAACCCUCCACCAAUGAGUUUUCCAUCAGAGGCUCCAUGUUCAGCAGAAAUACCACCGGAAGCAAAACUGCGGCGAUCAGCAAGGAGUAUCAAAACACCACAAAGGCUACUACUGUAAAUAACUAUUUCGGAGGGAAGAGCUGUCAUAACCAUCGAAAUGUCAACAUCACCAAAUGGACCAACCUGGUAGCGGUUGGCUGACAGCGGCUGUCAACAGGGGGAACGGGAAAAAAGUGCGCCACUGGAGCAGCGUCGGGAGAAGCGUACAAACGGAAAAGAUACAGAAGUACAAAUAUACGAGUGAAAUACAACAAAUUGGCGACGAGGAAGUACGAAAACCACGUUAUUAUACCUAAGCAAACUAAGCUUGUGUUGUUUUCAUGGAUCCGGCGUCAAAGAAGACCGAAAUUCCUGCUGCUUCUGUCACCACACGGGCUGCUGCUAAAUCUGCCAGUACCGGAACACCUACGGCCGAUUCUUCUUCAAACCUUCCUACUGGCGUCCUUGCUACGGACAAUUCUGCUACUGCUAAGCCUAUUUCUUCGAAAACUUCUACUAGAGGCCCUGUUACGGCCCAUUCUGCUGCGGUAAAACCAAAGGCAUCCAGUUCUACUACAUCCAGCACAUCGGUGCCCGGCUCAAGUGUGGGUGAAGGUACCGCUCUGUCUGUUUCGGUCCGGGGGAUAACUACUGCUGUUACGAAUAUGUCUACAAUGUUCUCAUUUGAGCCGUUUGAUCCAACAAACUGCAAAAUCCAGAGAUGGUUGGAAAGGUUGCAAAUUGCCUUCAAAAUCCAUCGAGUUUCCGAAGAAGACAAACGUGAUUACCUUCUCCAUUAUAUGGGUGGUGCUACUUAUGACGUGUUGUGCAACAAGUUAAAGAAUGCAGAACCGCAAACUAAAACGUUCCAGGAAAUUGUUUCCAUUCUUCAAGAGCAUUUCAACCCAAAUCCUUUAGAAAUUUUGGAAAAUUUCAAGUUUGCAAAUCGGAAGCAAGCUGAAAACGAAACACUAUCUACGUAUCUAAUGGAAUUGGAGAAGCUAGCACAAACAUGCAAUUUUGGGGAUUACCUCGACAAAGCCUUGAGAAACCAAUUUGUAUUCGGACUCCAAAACCGUGCGAUCCAAUCGCGGUUGCUCGAGGUGCGCGACUUAACAUUGGCUAAAGCGAAGGACAUAGCUUUUAGUAUGGAAAUGUCAAAUCGAGGCGCAGACGAAAUACACGGCGCCGGUGCAGCGUAUCCAGUUCAGCACAUCAGCACCACGAGCAAGAAGAAGAGCAAGCCAACAACGGUUCAAAGGAAAACAGCUUGCUAUCGGUGUGGAAACGAAGAGCAUUUUGCGGAUAAGUGUCGACACCGGAAUGCAAUUUGCAACUACUGCAAGAAAAUGGGACACUUGGAUAAAGUGUGUCGUACAAAACUACAACGAGCAGGAGUACACACACUGGAGUACGAGCCUGAUCUUCCUGCCUGUGACGAUGACGUUGUGGAUGUGCUCAACCUGAGAGCAGUGCAAAAUCUGGCGGGUAAGUUUUUGCUGGAAAUGGAAAUCUCUGAUAGAAAACUUAUUUUCGAGGUGGACACGGGUUCUCCAGUAUCACUAAUAAGUAACAGGGAUAGAUUAAAUUGUUUUCCUAACACAUUGAUGAAGAAAAGCAAUGUAAAAUUGAAAAGUUACUGCAACGGUGUUAUCAACGUUCUUGGAGAGAUCGAAGUGAGAGCAAAAAUUAAAAAUUUAGAAAUUCCUUUGCCAUUGCUUGUCACAAAAUCCGACAGAAAUCCUUUGCUUGGACGUAACUGGAUGAGAACUAUAAAGUUAGAUUUGAAUAAAUUUAUGCAUACCAGUCAAGAAGUUUCAUAUUGUGAAAAGGAAAAUUUCACUUCAUGCUCAAUACUAGAAGCUCUACUAAAAAAAUAUUCGGAAGUAUUUGAGGCAGGAAUAGGCAAAAUUGAAGGGUUACAAGCUUCAUUAACUCUUCGCAAAGAAACAAAACCUAUUUUUAUCAAAGCGCGGCCUGUCGCAUUUGCUGUCCGAGAUGCUGUAACCAAUGAAAUCAAUAAGUUAGUUGAGGAAAACGUUCUAGAGAAAGUGGAUCUUUCUGAAUGGGCUACACCUAUUGUGCCAGUAAAAAAAUCAGGGGGUAAUGUAAGAUUAUGUGGUGACUAUAAAAUCACGGUUAAUCCAAACCUAUUAGUAGACGAGCACCCACUACCGACAGUUGAGGAAUUGUUCACAAAUAUUGCAGGCGGGGAAAAAUUUUCUAAAUUAGACCUUUCCCAAGCCUAUCUGCAAUUGGAGGUAAGCCCCGAUUGUCGGGAUAUUUUAACAUUAGCAACCCACAAAGGAUUGUACCGCCCUACCAGACUAAUGUACGGGGUGGC